UACGUAGGGUGCAAGCGUUGUCCGGAAUUACUGGGCGUAAAGAGCGUGUAGGCGGCCAGAUAAGUCCGCUGUGAAAUCUCGAGGCUCAACUUCGAGCUGUCGGUGGAAACUGUCUGGCUAGAGUCCGGAAGAGGAGAAUGGAAUUCCUGGUGUAGCGGUGAAAUGCGCAGAUAUCAGGAAGAACACCCGUGGCGAAGGCGGUUCUCUGGGACGGUACUGACGCUGAGACGCGAAAGCGUGGGGAGCAAACAGG
rnacentral:rRNA from 1 species